GACAACUCUAAACCUUGGAACAUUUCCCCAUAUUCUCACCUGAAUCCUGGUCACCGAUGCAGAGAAAUUUACUCUUCAGACCAUACAGUGGUUUUGUUGCUGUUUGGUCUGGUUUGGCUCUUUGUUUUUGACACAGGGUCUCAGGCUUUCCUCAGAUGGGACACACAAUGUGCUAUGCUUCACUCCUUCCAAGUCCUGUAACUUGCCUCAACUAUUUUAAAUUCUGUGCCAAACUUAAUUCCUGUCCACAAAUGGGGAGAAGCAGGGACUAUGCCCCAAGCUGGUAUCAGGAAUAACUACAGAAAGUAGUACUCCUGUUUCCUAGGAAAAUGCUUUUUGCUAGAUAAUGGGUCACUGUAAAACAAAUUCUUCUCCCGUGAGGAUUUAAGGGCACCCACACAAUUUGCAUUGCUGAAAGUCUGUCAGAGGCUCCAAACAUUUCCACUCAGAAUACCCUUUGGUCAACUGCUAUCUCACACAUCCAUUACUGAAAAGGUUCACAUGCUCAUAACGAUGGUAGGAGUCGCUCCAAACAACCAUGUCCGCUGUACGAGAAGGGGCACAGUUCCAGAGAGCUGCUGCCCAGGGUGAAACUGUAAUGUUUCAAACUGGCAGCACUCUGCUCCUUCCACACUCUUUCCCUCACUGGGGGAAAGGAUGUGAGAAAACAAGCAGGAGUGAGGGACGGCCACGACACUCCCACCCACGCCCACCCAUCUGCUCUACAGACCUCACCAGCAACUUAAAGUGGGAAACCAACUAAACUGUAGCAACCUGACCUUGUCCGUCCCCUUCGCAAAAGUGCCCGAAUGCAUCCAAGUGACAGUUGGCUCUCCCCUGCGUUUUCCAAGCACGAUGGAAGAAACGCUGAGGGAUACACUGUUGGCCCAAUUAAGGUUUUAUCUCCAUGCCUGGACAUUCAAAAGGGGGAGCAGAUGCCAGGCACCUAAAGGGCAGCCUCAGACGCACCUCACCAUGGUCACUGCUCAAGACCUACAGUCAACUGGCUACGGGCUGAAGCUGGCACUUAGCAGGUUCUAGGUUUGUUCUGGCUUUUUGUGCUCACUGCUAUUCCCAGACCCCUUUCUCCCCCAGCUGCUGAUCUGAGAAAUCCUAAUGGAAAGAGGAAGUCAUCCCAAAUCCCAGGUGGGCAACUUCAUAACCACAACCUCCAGCAAUUCAGGCGAUCAGUGUUCACGCAGCUCUAGUGCUGUGGAUGGCCAGACUGCAAGGCACAGACAGCAUGCCAGCAUGAAGAAUAUUUGGAUACAGGAGGUACUCAAGAGUACUCCCAACUCCUUCCUGAGCUAAGUGACUCAACCCACUCACUCUCAGGACAGAAAAAAAAAAAAGGAAAGGAAACUGACUCAAACGAAUCUGAAACUAAAGCAGUCCCCAGUUUCAACUGCCAGAUUCCCCUAAACCAUUACUGCAUCCUCUUUCUUGUUAUAUCUGCUCACAGAGCUGUGAGAUACUGUAGAAAUUCAAGCAUCUAUGUCAGAGGACUCAAAUCAUCCUUUUCUCUGAAGUUCAAAGAAUCCUUAAAACAAUGACAAGUGCUUCGACAAAGGUCCCAGAUGACUUAUAUUCUACAUUUGUAAGCAGUGACUGACAGUUGAAAGCAAACACUAUUACGGGGUGCCUAAUGGAAAAGUGGUGUUCUUGGACUGAAGACCACCACCGCAUACAACACCCACUAAGAGCUGCUUUCACAUCGCCACAUUUGAAUAUGAAGGAAAAAGGACUUGCUUGUGUGUGACCCCUCCAAGGACUAGACAAUGCUGGAUAAAUGCAACAGAAAUUCACAUGGACAUGUACUCAUAAAUGUGUGAGACUAAGUGAGACAGCCUGAUGUUACAUAUACAUAUAUAUAUAUACACACACACACACACACCAAAGACUGAAGUAGAUAAAACACUUGCACUAAAGGUACAUUCCAACUAAUAUCUACCAGAAAGAUAGAUACAGAGAUAUAACAGCUCACAUAACCAUUGAGUCAGUCCUUUUCUUUAAACAUAAGUUUGCAGCUACUGUUAUAGCAAUCCGGAUAAAAGCCCAGAGAGGGAGACCCUUUCUUUUGAAAUGUACAUCUUCUGAUCAUAAUUCAGUGGUUGUGUUCUCUCUUCUUCCCAUUCACGUACAAUAGUUUCUUAGAUGUAUACAACUUAUCCCACCUAAGCUGCUCAGGGAAAGGGUACGGCCAUUGGGUAGAUUUAUAUCCUCCGGGAAAUAAGAUGGUCUCCUGUCACUUUAAUUUUUAUUUACUCUACACCAAAGGUUUUAAAUAUUCUAGAGCUGGAGGUUGAGAGGAAUUGUUUUCCUAGCCUGAAACAGCUCGUUAAUUAUUUAUGUAAGUCAUACUUACAAUGAGGCGUUUGUACACUUUUCUGCACAGUAUAAAUCCAGUUUUCCUCCUAAAAUCCCUGGUGGCCUUUAUUACAUAAGAAAACGAACUAGAUCUGGCGUGGUGGCACACACGUCUGUCUAUAAGCUCAGCACUCAGGAGGCGAAGGUAGCAAGUUUGAGGCCAGCUUGGGUACAGAGCAAGGCAGAGGUGGAAAGGGACCUCACAGCAAUAAUGCCAACCUGUUUAUCAUUCCUCAAGAACUGAAAAAAAAAAAAAAUCAAACACACACACAGAGGCGUGUGUGUGUUUUUUUGUUUUCAAGAAACACCGUUUGUCUCUGGAAAGACGGGUCAAGUGUGCACCAGACUGCCUUGAGAAGUAAUUAAGCUUGGGCUGUUUCGUUUCACAGCGUCCCAUCU
rnacentral:lncRNA from 1 species